UACGUAGGCAGCGAGCGUUGUUCGGAAUUACUGGGCGUAAAGCGUGCGUAGGCGGUGCUAUAAGUUCGGUGUGAAAUCUCCUGGCUCAACUGGGAGGGUGCGCCGAAAACUAUAGUGCUCGAGUGUGGGAGAGGUAAGCGGAAUUCCUGGUGUAGCGGUGAAAUGCGUAGAUAUCAGGAGGAACACCGGCGGUGUAGACGGCUUACUGGACCAUUACUGACGCUGAGGCACGAAAGUGUGGGUAGCAAACAGG
rnacentral:rRNA from 1 species